GACGAACGCUGGCGGCGCGCUUAACACAUGCAAGUCGAACGGAAAGGCCUGCUUUCCCUUGUGGAUUGCGGGUACUCGAGUGGCGAACGGGUGAGUAACACGUGAGUGAUCUGCCCCCAACUUGGGUAUAAGCCUGGGAAACUGGGUCUAAUUCCCGAUAGGACUGCAGGGUGGUGCCUGUGGUGGAAAACGAUUUUCUAGUGGUUGGGGAUGAGCUCGCGGCCUAUCAGCUUGUUGGUGGGGUAAUGGCCUACCAAGGCGGCGACGGGUAGCCGGCCUGAGAGGGUGGACGGCCACAUUGGGACUGAGAUACGGCCCAGACUCCUACGGGAGGCAGCAGUGGGGAAUAUUGCACAAUGGGCGGAAGCCUGAUGCAGCGACGCCGCGUGGGGGAUGGCGGCCUUCGGGUUGUAAACUCCUUUCGACCGCGAGGAAGCCACCUGGUUGGAAGGGUGGUGACGGUAGUGGUAGAAGAAGCACCGGCUAACUACGUG
rnacentral:rRNA from 1 species